GCUCGGGUAGCUCAGCUGGUUAGAGCAUUCGACUGUUAAUCGAGAGGUCGAGGGUUCGAUCCCCUCCCUGAGCG